UACGAAGGGUGCAAACGUUAAUCGGAAUUACUGGGCGUAAAGCGUGCGUAGGCGGUUUGUUAAGUCUGUUGUGAAAUCCCCGGGCUCAACCUGGGAAUGGCAAUGGAUACUGGCAAGCUAGAGUGUGUCAGAGGAUGGUGGAAUUCCCGGUGUAGCGGUGAAAUGCGUAGAGAUCGGGAGGAACAUCAGUGGCGAAGGCGGCCAUCUGGGACAACACUGACGCUGAGGCACGAAAGCGUGGGGAGCAAACAGG
rnacentral:rRNA from 1 species